rnacentral:rRNA from 1 species
UCGGGAAUUUUGGGCAAUGGGCGAAAGCCUGACCCAGCAACGCCGCGUGAAGGAUGAAGUAUUUCGGUAUGUAAACUUCGAAAGAAUAGGAAGAAUAAAUGACGGUACCAUUUAUAAGCUCCGGCUAACUACGUGCCAGCAGCCGCGGUAAUACGUAGGGAGCAAGCGUUGUUCGGAUUUACUGGGCGUAAAGGGCGCGUAGGCGGCGCGGUAAGUCACUUGUGAAAUCUCUGAGCUUAACUCAGAACGGCCAAGUGAUACUGCUGUGCUAGAGUGCGGAAGAGGCAACCGGAAUUCUUGGUGUAGCGGUGAAAUGCGUAGAUAUCAAGAGGAACACCUGAGGCGAAGGCGGGUUGCUGGGCCGACACUGACGCUGAUGCGCGAAAGCCAGGGGAGCAAACG